GCCCCCUCGCAUCCCCACCCACCCGUGCCCCUUCCCCUCGCAUCUCUUCCUCCCGAGCCCCGACCCCAGGCUAGGGUUCCAUACGCCGCCGCCGGUGUCUCACCCCCUCACCACACACGCAUCUCUCCUUUCCAUCCCCACCUGAGGUCCUCAAUCGCCAUCUCGAGGUCCGAGAAGAGAGGGCCGCCGCACCGUCUUCCUCCUCCACCGACCUCCGAGGCGCCCUACUCGUGGGACGACGCCGCCGCCGCCUUGUGGAACCCCAGGGCAGGGCAGGGCGUGGUCGAGUUGCGGGCAGGGAAGAGCGGCGCCGACGCCGUGCGUAGCCAGUUCGUGCGAGGACAAGGACUGCCGCCGCCCGGGCCGCGGUGACCACGGACGUGGAGCUGCUGAAGCGGUUCCUCAAAAUCAUGUCUAUUAGUGUUUCUUCUCUCUCUCUCUCUCUCUAUAUAUAUAUAUAUAUGCAUGAUCUUUCCUUUUAUAAUUCUAUGCAUGAUUUUUGCUACUGCUGGCCUUGAAUUGCCACUGAUUUGGGCCACCUUGUUUAUGAUUCGUGCACGCAUGUGUUUCGUUGGUCUUUUGCGGCAUGUGGGGAGCGUAAACUGGAACGUGUGCAGCAGGCAUCGCUGCUGCGCUGGACGACGUUGUGCGAGGCCAUGGCCAUGGAUGAUGUGCUGUUGGAGAACGGCGCAGGGCUAAGGUAGUCGAUGUGAGCGACCACUGGAAUCCAAUUGCUUUUAGAUUCGUAUGGUGCAGCCUACAUGUCCUCAUCACCCAAUAAAAUAUAGAUAUCAAUUAUUGCACCUGGGUUUAUAUUAUGUCCUUUUUGAUUCCAUCUAAAAGUUCACCAUGUCCUCUUUAAAUGGACAGUUUAUACGAAUUCUUGAGCAGUUAAGAUUUUUAGCUUGUAAUACAGUCAUUCUGAAUUAUUUAGCAUUCAGUCUCAUCAUAGGGUACAUGUGUAUUUAAAGAACAAGAGCAGCAAAUGAUUUUAUUAUUGCUAAACAAGAUUCAGGAGUGAAGUUGGACUACGUUAAACUUUAGAUAUUUGCUUAAGUAAACAAUUGCAGCCAAUCGCUUCUGUUCUGAAAAUGAUGCCUGAGAUUUACUUGAUUCAAGCCAUCGUUCCUGAUGACGAUGCAAGUGAUCUGAAGAUGGCUUCAGCAUAUUCAUCAAUGCAUUGGCGAAUGUGUUUCUAAAUUAGACUUAAGCCAGCCACACGAGUUGCUCGACGCCUUGGCUGAGCUUCUUCUUGAACAAUUGGGUAACCCGUCUCUCAAGGCCACUAAUUUUGGCUUGUUUGUCCUCUUCAAGCCCGCUGACUAAUUAAUUUGGUUGAUUGUCUGUAGAAUUCAUAGUGGAUAAGAAACCUCAACAAUUCCCCUUUGUUCACACUGUAUCUACAAUUUACUACUAUAUCUGUAAAGCUACUGAAAUUUGAUUUUUUUAACCAAAAGAAAUGCGUGUGAGCGAUUCAUGGUUAUUGUAGGGAGUGCCUAUAAUAUGUGGCUCUAGAGGUGCUGAAGCGGCGAACUGAGCUGAGGCCAGCAUAAGGAGUGACAGAGUUAUCCUCAACUUUUAUUUGUUCAUGUUGUCUCCACAAACUGACUUGUGUAUGUGUUCAUGGAUCAGAGACAGCGUGCGCUACCACGAGCACGAGGACAUCUGGGUGCGACAGUCAGAGAGCUCGUCGAGAGGCUCGGUAGGAUGGAGGGUGUCCCGCUAGCUACCCGCGUCGUUGCCAACGGUGCCAUGGGAUUUGUGGUGCACAUGGUCAAGGAGAUGUGCGGAUUCUUGGGCAAUCUCAGCUUCGAUCAACAUGUCAAUACAGGAUACGUGCUAUUCAAAGAGUGACAUAAAUUCAGAGUUCUUCCAUUGAAAUCUAGAGGAUCGGGUGCAUUUUUGUUCAGGUCUGAAAUGAGAAGAAAUAAUCAAUUGCUUUUUCUCUGAAGUUUCCCAAUGUAAAUCCUUUGUUUUUGAGAAAGAAUCAAAGCAUGCCAGCUGAUGAAGGAACGGAGGAAGCUAUUAUGCUUGGUUGUGGAAGAGUGUAUCCAACAGGAUCCACCUGACUAUGGCCAAUUGGUGCUUGCACAACAUCAGGGAAUGAUUUUUGGAGACCUGCGUAGUGGUUGGAGAUGCAUAACUACAUGUCUUUCUACUUUGGGCUCGGGCUUGAACCUCUCAUUGUGUAAAUCGAUGUGUGACUAUGGGAUCGUUAUAUCGUGUCUCCUCGUACUGCAGUAUGCUACAUAGAAUAGUUAGAAAUUGGGCUAUACUAUAUACAGGAUUGUAUUAGCAUUUUGAAUCUAAGCUAAUUGUUCUCGCCUUCUGAUUUA